GUGGGGAAUAUUGGACAAUGGGCGAAAGCCUGAUCCAGCCAUGCCGCGUGUGUGAAGAAGGUCUUCGGAUUGUAAAGCACUUUAAGUUGGGAGGAAGGGCAGUAAGUUAAUACCUUGCUGUUUUGACGUUACCGACAGAAUAAGCACCGGCUAACUUCGUGCCAGCAGCCGCGGUAAUACGAAGGGUGCAAGCGUUAAUCGGAAUUACUGGGCGUAAAGCGCGCGUAGGUGGUUUUGUAAGUUGGAGGUGAAAUCCCCGGGCUCAACCUCGGAACUGCCUCCAAAACUGCAUGACUAGAGUACGGUAGAGGGUAGUGGAAUUUCCUGUGUAGCGGUGAAAUGCGUAGAUAUAGGAAGGAACACCAGUGGCGAAGGCGACUACCUGGACUGAUACUGACACUGAGGUGCGAAAGCGUGGGGAGCAAACAGGAUUAGAUACCCCAGUAGUCC
rnacentral:rRNA from 1 species